ensembl:rRNA 5S_rRNA 5S ribosomal RNA
GCUUACGGCCAUACCACCCUGAGAACGCCCGAUCUCGUCUGAUCUCGGAAGCUAAGCAGGGUCGGGCCAGGUUAGUACUUGGGUGGGAGACCGCCUGGGAAUACCAGGUGCUGUAACCU